UUGGUCCAAAGCGCGGAAACCUUUCCAAAUUUUACAAAGCCGAAAUAUGGUCGAGAUACAACAAAUAGCUGCGCGGUCUAAACUAGCAACGGUCACACCACAAACUAACGUUCUGCUUUAAUCAGGUGGUAAUAUUGUAGAGAACAAUUUAAUAGUUAAUUGAAUGUAAUGUAUAAUGGCAUAGGCUAAAUAAAACAAAGUUUAGACAUUCAUUUAGUAGCACCCUCUUGAAUUUACCCAUAUUCCACUACAUUCUAGAAAACGUUGUUUUUAAAGCCCAGAAAAUCAAGUGUAGUUCUGCUGGAAAAGCCAGCCGACUUCACAACACAUGUCCCUGUGCUGCUCCACUCGUGACAAGUACAGCGACAUGUGCAUAUCAACCUUAAUGAUGCGGAGACACCGUCACUGAACUAACUACAUGGCAAUUCUGUCGAAUAAAUACCUAUUUCACUGCAGAGAGAAGACGACGGACGCACAGACUCUCUGCCGUCCGUCUCUAUUUCCCAUCCCUUCGUCCUUCCAUCCCUCUGUCUGCCUGUGGAUAUUCCAGAUAUGCGACCUGCUCCAUGGAGAUUGCUGUAGAUGGCUGAGGAGCUGUGCACCGGCUGGUUUCGCAUUGU